ACGAAGGGGGCUAGCGUUGCUCGGAAUCACUGGGCGUAAAGGGCGCGUAGGCGGACAUUUAAGUCAGGGGUGAAAUCCCGGGGCUCAACCUCGGAAUUGCCUUUGAUACUGGGUGUCUCGAGACCGGAAGAGGUAAGUGGAACUGCGAGUGUAGAGGUGAAAUUCGUAGAUAUUCGCAAGAACACCAGUGGCGAAGGCGGCUUACUGGUCCGGUUCUGACGCUGAGGCGCGAAAGCGUGGGGAGCAAACAG
rnacentral:rRNA from 1 species